CUACAAGUACCAGAAGGCUCUGAGCUGGCUUCCGGCAAGGGAGCUGGGAGGCUUUGCGUGCCGGAGUCUGUAGUCCCAGCUUUCCAUCCUCACCAUCCAGAGCCCAAACUGCAGUUACCGCACCACGAGGAGACGUUCCCCACGUCCGUGUGACAUUUUAGAGUAACAGUAUCAGUUCACCUUGUGAAGUUUCCAGCACACAAUGGCAUUUUCACAAGACUAAAAGAGAAGAAAGAAAAAUAUCACUGUCGUUUGAAUCUGGAAUGUCCCCUGAAGAUUCCUGUGUUGAGACUUGGUCCGCAAUGCAACAAUGAUUAAAGAUAAGGCUUGGGAAAAUGGCUGGAUCAGGAAGGCACUGACCUCAUAACAGCUUAAGCCACUGAUGGGUUACUGCGAGGCAACAGAAAUUUAGGUGGGACCUAGUUUAAGAGAGUGGAUCUUUAGCAGCAUGAUCUUGGGGAUUACAUCCCAAGCCCUGUCUUUUCAUCCACUGUGCUUCCUGUUUGCCAGGAGGUGAGCAACCUCCUCAGCCACAAGCUGUUACCAUCGUCACUGUCUGUCUUGCCUUAGGCCCAAAGCAAUGGAGCCAGCUGAUCACGGACUAAAACCUCUAAAACUGUGGGCCAAAAUAAAUGUUCUCCUUUAAUUUUCUGUUAUUUUGUCACAGUGAUGAAAAGUUAAUACACUGAUCUUUUUACUUUUUUGAUGGUAUCAUUUACAGCAAAAUUCCUAUUUAUUUUGAGAAAGCUGUUUGAUUCUUUAAAUCCCCUUGCUAGCAUAAUAAUGGAAGAUCAUGGUUAAAGUUGUGAUGUUUAGACACUGUAGCCUACUUAUACAGGAAUAUAUAAACCCAACUACUAUUAUCAAGAGACAAAGAAAAGUAAUUGGCUGUUUCAAGAGGUGGUGUUUCCAAAUUUAGGCCUUGGUAGUUACAAAAAAAAGACACAAACAUUUUCAUAUAGUAAGUUUGCUGUUUUUGUGCUGAGGCUCAAACCCAAGGCUUCUGCACAUACUGCAAGUGUUCUACUACUGAGCUACAUGCAGCCUAAGUGUCUGAAUUUGAAGACAUCCUUUAAUCUGGGUAGUUUGUAGGAGAGGUUAUAAAUUGGAUAAGACAGAGAAAAGAAUAAACUUGACUAGAACAAAACAGCAGAAAAGGCAAUCAAGAACACAAUGCAGAAAUAAGAAUUGCACAACUCAUUUCAGAAAGCUCAGAAAUGAUUAAAAAUGACUAAGAGGUCUGUCUAAACCCAGAAUAAACAAUGGCAAUAUAGGCACGAAGAGCAAUGCAAUGCUUUCUCUUUAUGGGAAAUACUUCAAAGAAUUUAUGCUGGGAAACAGCAUUUUAAAGAAUUCUACAGGAAAUUCUUUAUAAAACAAAAGCUUAGGCCAGGGUGUGGUGGUGCA